AAGUCGUAACAAGGUUUCCGUAGGUGAACCUGCGGAAGGAUCAUUAACACGUAUCCAAACGUUAAAACCCCCCCCGUGAACCUUCAUCCUGCUCUUGUAACCCGCGAAGCUUGCAAUCUCUGGUAAAUCAUAGCCCGGAAAGUAGUUUGAUUCAGAGACCUCUGGCCCGUGCGAACAUUGGAACAGUUACAAUCGACUGCGGUAGUUCUAUAGGCAUUGUUUCCCCAAGCAGUCAGUGUCUGAAAGUGUCAUUGAUUGUGCAAGGAUAGCGCUUCACGAUUCCUGCAGACCGUACACUCGGGCAGGUCAAUGUAAUACAUUGGGUAAAAAAACCGAACAACUGUUAACAAUGGAUAUCUUGGUUCUC
rnacentral:misc_RNA from 1 species